GACGUAGGGUCCAAGCGUUGUCCGGAUUUACUGGGCGUAAAGAGCGCGUAGGCGGUCUGUUAAGUGUGAAGUGAAAUUUCGGGGCUCAACCCCGAAACUGCUUCGCAUACUGGCAGACUUGAGGGAUGGAGAGGUUUGUGGAAUUUCUGGUGUAGCGGUGAAAUGCAUUGAUAUCAGGAGGAACACCCAUGGCGAAGGCAGCAAACUGGCCAUCAUCUGACGCUGAGGCGCGAAAGCCAGGGUAGCAAACGGG
rnacentral:rRNA from 1 species